GGGGUUGUUUGGUUUUGACAGCAGGUAGAAGGGAUAUGUAAGCACGCAGUGCAUUGUCGGAUAGCACUUUAAUCAUAGACGGCAAACAAUUAACUGGCGAAAAUGAAUACGCUCUCGCUGCCUGACCGAAGUUUAGUAGGUUAUUUGGCUUAAUCCUGUUGCAAGGCGACGGGACGGGACAUCUCUCAAACGCCCGCGCUUCGAGGCAGUUUGGUAAAGAGGUGCAGCAAAAUCGAAGAUAGUUGCGUUUGGCUUCGCAGGCACAAUGAAAAACAAAGAAGAUAAGGUGCAGGUUGGUAGUUUCGGUCUUGCCCGCACACGAAAAUUUAAGCGAAAAUAAGCGUGUAGAAAGCAUAUUGUUUCCUUGUUUGGACGAGGGUUCGACUCCCUCCAACUCCAC
rnacentral:tmRNA from 1 species